GAACCAUGGAUUUUUGUACAUCGCUGCUGCUUCUGGUGAAGGUGGGCUAACCUAUGGAGUGCUCACCCUCCUGCUUUUUAAUUGCUUCUGUGCUUUAAAAAAGGAAAUGGUUUUCAAUGAGCACCAAAUGAACAGCAAGAUGCAUAAUGGUUGAAAAAUGGAAUGGAUAUUUUACACCAAGAUCACUUGCCUGAACUGCAGUCUCUUUCUGUUACCUGGAUUGAGAUGAAGAAUACUUUGGAUGUACCCCAUAAAGGAGAAUUUGCCAUGCUGCUGUUCUGGCUGCAGCCUUCACGUGUUUGUAGAGUUUUACCCAACUCUGGGAUUGUCAGCAAUCCAGGCUGCACAACACAUAAAUGUAGCAGUGCCGGGAGCCAACAUGUUUGUGGAUUUAUUGGGAAUUGCAAAACACUGAAAUAUCCUGUUCCAGAAAGAAGACUAAUACAGGAGCAAGAGGUUAGAAAAAGCCUGUCAUGA
rnacentral:lncRNA from 1 species